UUCGCAAUGCCCGAAAGGGUGACGAAGCGACGCCGCGUGCGGGAAGAAGGCCUUCGGGUUGUAAACCGCUGUCGGGAGUUAGGAAAUGCAAGGAUGUUAAUAGCGUCUUUGCUUGACUAAGGCUCCGGAGGAAGCCACGGCUAACUCUGUGCCAGCAGCCGCGGUAAUACAGAGGCGGCAAGCGUUGUUCGGAAUUAUUGGGCGUAAAGAGCACGUAGGCGGCCGUGUAAGUCGGUUGUGAAAGCCUUCCGCUCAACGGGAGAACGGCAUCCGAUACUGCAUGGCUCGAGUGCGGGAGGGGAGAGUGGAACUUCUGGUGGAGCGGUGAAAUGCGUAGAUAUCAGAAGGAACACCGGCGGCGAAGGCGACUCUUUGGCCCGUAACUGACGCUGAGUGUGCGAAAGCUAGGGGAGCAAACGGGAUUAGAUACCCCGGUAGUCCUAGCCGUAAACGAUGGGCACUAAGUAGAGGGGUUUU
rnacentral:rRNA from 1 species